AUUAUACUUCCUCGGUCCAGAAAUAAUUGUCAGAGGAAUGGAUGUAUCUGGAUGUAUUUUAACUCUAGAUACAUCCAUUUUUAUCCAUUUCUUCGACAAGUAAUUUCAGGAGAAGGGAGUACAUG
rfam:Hordeum vulgare subsp. vulgare, WGS project CAJW01000000 data, contig: morex_contig_1684941